rnacentral:rRNA from 1 species
UAAGGAAUAUUGGUCAAUGGACGCAAGUCUGAACCAGCCAUGCCGCGUGAAGGAUGAAGGUCCUCUGGAUUGUAAACUUCUUUUAUCUGGGACGAAAACGGGAUUUUUAUCUCAAUUGACGGUACCAGAGGAAUAAGCACCGGCUAACUCCGUGCCAGCAGCCGCGGUAAUACGGAGGGUGCGAGCGUUAUCCGGAUUUACUGGGUUUAAAGGGUGCGUAGGUGGGCUUAUAAGUCAGUGGUGAAAUCUCCGAGCUUAACUUGGAAGCUGCCGUUGAUACUAUAGGUCUUGAAUUAUCUGGAGGUAAGCGGAAUAUGUCAUGUAGCGGUGAAAUGCUUAGAUAUGACAUAGAACACCAAUUGCGAAGGCAGCUUACUACAUAUAAAUUGACGCUGAGGCACGAAAGCGUGGGGAUCAAACA